UUAAAUUGAAGAGUUUGAUCAUGGCUCAGAUUGAACGCUGGCGGCAGGCCUAACACAUGCAAGUCGAACGGUAACAGGAAGAAGCUUGCUUCUUUGCUGACGAGUGGCGGACGGGUGAGUAAUGUCUGGGAAACUGCCUGAUGGAGGGGGAUAACUACUGGAAACGGUAGCUAAUACCGCAUAAUGUCGCAAGACCAAAGAGGGGGACCUUCGGGCCUCUUGCCAUCGGAUGUGCCCAGAUGGGAUUAGCUAGUAGGUGGGGUAACGGCUCACCUAGGCGACGAUCCCUAGCUGGUCUGAGAGGAUGACCAGCCACACUGGAACUGAGACACGGUCCAGACUCCUACGGGAGGCAGCAGUGGGGAAUAUUGCACAAUGGGCGCAAGCCUGAUGCAGCCAUGCCGCGUGUAUGAAGAAGGCCUUCGGGUUGUAAAGUACUUUCAGCGGGGAGGAAGGGAGUAAAGUUAAUACCUUUGCUCAUUGACGUUACCCGCAGAAGAAGCACCGGCUAACUCCGUGCCAGCAGCCGCGGUAAUACGGAGGGUGCAAGCGUUAAUCGGAAUUACUGGGCGUAAAGCGCACGCAGGCGGUUUGUUAAGUCAGAUGUGAAAUCCCCGGGCUCAACCUGGGAACUGCAUCUGAUACUGGCAAGCUUGAGUCUCGUAGAGGGGGGUAGAAUUCCAGGUGUAGCGGUGAAAUGCGUAGAGAUCUGGAGGAAUACCGGUGGCGAAGGCGGCCCCCUGGACGAAGACUGACGCUCAGGUGCGAAAGCGUGGGGAGCAAACAGGAUUAGAUACCCUGGUAGUCCACGCCGUAAACGAUGUCGACUUGGAGGUUGUGCCCUUGAGGCGUGGCUUCCGGAGCUAACGCGUUAAGUCGACCGCCUGGGGAGUACGGCCGCAAGGUUAAAACUCAAAUGAAUUGACGGGGGCCCGCACAAGCGGUGGAGCAUGUGGUUUAAUUCGAUGCAACGCGAAGAACCUUACCUGGUCUUGACAUCCACAGAACUUUCCAGAGAUGGAUUGGUGCCUUCGGGAACUGUGAGACAGGUGCUGCAUGGCUGUCGUCAGCUCGUGUUGUGAAAUGUUGGGUUAAGUCCCGCAACGAGCGCAACCCUUAUCCUUUGUUGCCAGCGGUCCGGCCGGGAACUCAAAGGAGACUGCCAGUGAUAAACUGGAGGAAGGUGGGGAUGACGUCAAGUCAUCAUGGCCCUUACGACCAGGGCUACACACGUGCUACAAUGGCGCAUACAAAGAGAAGCGACCUCGCGAGAGCAAGCGGACCUCAUAAAGUGCGUCGUAGUCCGGAUUGGAGUCUGCAACUCGACUCCAUGAAGUCGGAAUCGCUAGUAAUCGUGGAUCAGAAUGCCACGGUGAAUACGUUCCCGGGCCUUGUACACACCGCCCGUCACACCAUGGGAGUGGGUUGCAAAAGAAGUAGGUAGCUUAACCUUCGGGAGGGCGCUUACCACUUUGUGAUUCAUGACUGGGGUGAAGUCGUAACAAGGUAACCGUAGGGGAACCUGCGGUUGGAUCACCUCCUUACCUUAAAGAAGC
rnacentral:rRNA from 1 species